rnacentral:rRNA from 1 species
UACAUGGGGUGCAAACGUUGCUCGGAAUUAUUGGGCGUAAAGCGCGCGUAGGCGGUUACUUAAGUCGGAUGUGAAAGCCCUCGGCUUAACUGAGGAAGUGCACCCGAAACUGAGUAGCUAGAGUACGAAAGAGGGUCGCGGAAUUCCCGGUGUAGAGGUGAAAUUCGUAGAUAUCGGGAGGAACACCGGUGGCGAAGGCGGUUCUCUGGGCCUGUACUGACGCUGAGGAACGAAAGCGUGGGGAGCGAACAGG